rnacentral:rRNA from 1 species
AUGGCCGUCCACGGCCAGGGGCUUGCUCGUCGCCUUGUCCGCGGUAACUGGACGCACGCCCUCUCCAUGGCAACCGCAGCCAGAGCUUCGCUAGUCGCCAUGACCAACCUGCAAUCAGCCGCGGGGGCGACGAGUUUGUGCUGGAGCCGGGGAUUGCUGGAACCAGUUGGUGGACGUGCUGCAAGGUUGACAGCUCACAGGAGGAAGCUGCAUCCAGCGGCGAGGAGGGUUGCAUCCAAUGUCGUUCAAACGCCGGGAGUUGCAACCAUGUACGCCGGAGCUACAACCGGUGACCGGGGGUGUUGCAAGAGGGAGUGGCCGUUUUUGCUGAUGCGUCUUUUUUUGGUGAACCAAAUUUUUGUUUUUUGCUGGAACCGAUGA